GAUGAACGCUGGCGGCGUGCCUAAUACAUGCAAGUCGAGCGAACAGAUGAGGAGCUUGCUCCUCUGACGUUAGCGGCGGACGGGUGAGUAACACGUGGAUAACCUACCUAUAAGACUGGGAUAACUUCGGGAAACCGGAGCUAAUACCGGAUAAUAUAUUGAACCGCAUGGUUCAAUAGUGAAAGACGGUUUUGCUGUCACUUAUAGAUGGAUCCGCGCCGCAUUAGCUAGUUGGUAAGGUAACGGCUUACCAAGGCAACGAUGCGUAGCCGACCUGAGAGGGUGAUCGGCCACACUGGAACUGAGACACGGUCCAGACUCCUACGGGAGGCAGCAGUAGGGAAUCUUCCGCAAUGGGCGAAAGCCUGACGGAGCAACGCCGCGUGGGUGAUGAAGGUCUUCGGAUCGUAAAGCUCUGUUAUUAGGGAAGAACAACUGUGUAAGUAACUAUGCACGUCUUGACGGUACCUAAUCAGAAAGCCACGGCUAACUACGUG
rnacentral:rRNA from 1 species